ACAUACUGGGUUGUGUGUAUUCAUGUUGCUGUUAACACUCAGCUGAUUUACAUGUUUUCCAUGUGUACUUUAAGAUUACCUUAUUUCAAAGGGUCAGAGUGGUAAUUUCUUUCCUUUAAGUUCCUGUAAAAUGCUCAGUUUCUUAUAAUUCUUGCCACUGCCUUCCAGGGCGCUCUGUCUCAUCCUGCACUUGCCGGCUUGGUGUUAUGACAAAAAGCAAAUGCAGGUUCACGAAAGUAUUACAGGAAACAAAUAGUGCCUUUAAUCCUGGAGCUGUGCCAGCCCGGCAGUAUCAAAGUUGAGCCUUCCCUGACCUCUGUUCAGGGGGCUGUGAGGCGGUCAGGAGCCAGGCUGCAGUGACGGGCCGGGACUCGGAGUGCCCGGGGCACAUGUGCUGGCCAGGGCCGUGCCACCUCCCGGGCGCCCAGCAUGGCAUGUCGCGUUUCUGUGCAUUCAGCGCCCACGAGAAGACUGAGUCCUGGGCUUUGCAUGAACGGUAGGAGUUGACAUUGUCCCCAGCGGAGCACAAGGACUCCCCGUGACAUGGCGGGGACAAUGGGAAGAAACAAUUCAGAAAGUGACGCAUUACUUCUGCCUGUGGACAGAGGGAACAGCUGAAACGUGGGAGACCAGACUACAGCUGUGUGACUACAGCUUUUUUUUUUCUUCUUCUUUUUUCUUCUUUUAAGCAACACAUAUUUUAGUGAAUAAAAACUACUGAUUCCCUCUGCUGGUGUUUUGAACCUUAUUUACUUCCCAAGGUGGUGGUGGUGGUGGUGGUAGUCACCAGACUGUCUGUGAAAGGAAGAGUGAGACAACAGGAGAAGCCAUAACCUCUUUACUGCUGUGGGAUGUUUAACCGCAACAGUCACCCUGCUUGGCUUGGCUUGGCUUGGCUCGGCUCCCUUGCCCCGCUUCACUCAUGCAUCCUUGUGUUCUCCUCUCCUAUCAAUCAUCACUUAGGGUCCUGUCCUGCAAAGCAGCCUGACUGCCACAGAU